GGUAUAUCUGGGCAAAAUUUGAGCAAAAUCGAUUUUUCAGUCGUGGCCGCUUUAUGUUUGAUUUUUGUGGACAUCCUCUCUUAAGUAUUAUGUUUGCUUAUAUUACCAAAACUAACCUAGCUAGAUUAAUAUUUAUCUUUGCAACAACAUGCAACUUUUCAAUGUUUAUCUUAUUAUUACCCACCUUAAUUGUCAUGUAACUUACCCUGUGAGAGGGAACCAAAGUGCCCGGAGAAAACCCAUGACUUUUGGCAGAGUGUUGACUGUUAGACUCUUCACAUGCAAAGCCUAGUUGUUAAGUGAGAAUCAAAUUAAUCCACAAUCUCAUUAAGGUACAAAACUCACUCUGUGCUUGCUGCUGCACAACCAGAAGCCCCAAUAAUUAAUGCCCACAUUCACUGAGCACUUUGGGCAUAAAUUGGGUUAAAUUUAAGUUCCAAUUUUUACAAAAUUAGGACUAUAUAUAAUUAAAUUAAUUUGUUUCUAUUUAUUUUCAGUGCAGCAACGUGUGAUGUGGAUCCAGCUUCUUUAAUUGUUUUCCUGUUUUUUGUAGCUGCCGUAUGUUCACAGUUACAUUUUAAUUUGUUUACACUUAAUUUAUAUUAGUAAUCAAGUGAAUAUUUUUUUCAUGGUUUUUUCAAUUUGAAAAUCACGAGUCAAUCUAUAUAUAACAUAUUUGUAAAUAUGAUGAAAAUUAUAUGGCCGAUCAGUGUUGUUUGCAGCCCCUCCUUUCCUUUAAAGGAGGGACUGCAUGCUUGCAGUCUAACCCAUGUCAAUUUAAUCUCUAAUUUCUAACAAGCCUUUGACUGGCACACCAACCAUGGUGUUAGGAGAAGUCACCAGUACUAGGGCUUGAAAAAAAGUGAACUCCCAAUUUGUUUCCAGGCAUCAUGGUGGUCAAUUUGUUUAAAAAGACUUCCCUUGUUUUUUCUGAUUGAAAAUCCAGCUUUCCGCCAAUCAUAAACAAUUUCUUGCCGAUUCUUGAUCGGUGAUUGGCUGUUAUAUUUCAAGUCCUAAUUAAGUCACCCCCACUGCUCAUUUCCCAUGGUUCCAGUGGGACAAGUAUUGAAUGACCAUGAAUCGUGCCAAAACUGGAAAUCACUAUAAUUACUCGCUGGGGCACUGUGCCCUGGCGAGUAUUAAGGUUUCGGCUCGCAUUUCAGCUCAUAAUAUACUGAAUCUGAAUAUAAACGAGUCAAAGACAUUAUUUCAAAGGUAAAAGCUCGGGUAAAAGGUUAUAACUUUUUUAAACUACACAACGUAGUUUUGAUAUAAAACUACAUUUAUGAGAAGCAUAAUGUUAUCAUAUUAAUAUAAAAUUUAUCCAACAUUGAACAACAGUCCCUAAUAGACUUAGCUGUGCCUGUGGAAACGUGAAAACUGUAGUGUGAAAUAUGAUAUUGUAUUUGUAAUGCCUAAAUGGCGCAAUAAACGUAAAAAUACCACCGUUACGUUCGGUUCAGCGUAAGAAAUGGUACUUACGGAUGUCAAAUGUAUUACUAAACAUCAGUAUUCCAGCAAUUUAUGGCCUUUGAAGAUCAAGCGAAGUUGUAUUGUUGACAAAUCGCUCGCAGAGGACGUAUUGUUGACAAAUUACUCGCAGUACGUUUGUCUUUGUAUCUGUAUUGCCUGAUGGCGCAAUAAGAAUAAAAAUACCACCGCUCUAUGUCUUCGAUUCACCGUAGGAAAUUGUACUUACGGAUGUCAAAUGUAUUACUAAACAACAGUAUUCUAGCGAUUUAUGGCGUUUGUCUUUGAAAGUCAAGCGAAAUUGUAUUGUUGACAAAUCGCUCAAAAUUAUUAAACUAGGUUUGAUCCUUGAUAAAUUUGGUAUCGUUUUCUCCUUUUCGGCCGUAAUAGAGCGUCUUGUUUCCAAUUGUUUCAGCUGCUUUUGCCUGGAGAAGAUAUGCUCUAUUCUACUGAGCUUUCUCAGGCAUCCCUGUGGUGAAUGAUGUACUUGGAGCUAUUAGUCCAAUUUUAUUGUUAACUAUAAUGUAUGUAUAUAUGUUCCAUUCCAGGUGCUAAUUAUUACGGUAUUGGCAUUUUUACGGAAGAGAAGAAGUUUUAAGAAAGACGUUUGGGGAGGCAGACCUGGGCUUGUUGUGUGAGUUCAAAACAAAGAUGUCUGUAAUUUAUCCAUGC
rnacentral:lncRNA from 1 species